rnacentral:rRNA from 1 species
UACGUAGGGUCCGAGCGUUGUCCGGAAUUGCUGGGCGUAAAGAGCUCGUAGGUGGUUUGUCGCGUUGUUCGUGAAAACUCACAGCUCAACUGUGGGCGUGCGGGCGGAUACGGGCAGACGUUGAGUACUGCAGGGGAGACUGGGAAUUCCUGGUGUAGCGGUGGAAUGACUGCAGAGUAUCAGGAGGAACACCGGUGGCGAAGGCGGGUCUCUGGGCAGUAAC